rnacentral:rRNA from 1 species
UACGAGGGGGGCAAGCGUUGUUCGGAAUUAUUGGGCGUAAAGGGCGCGUAGGCGGUUUGACAAGUCUGAUGUGAAAUCUAUGGGCUCAACCCAUAGCCUGCAUUAGAAACUGUCGGGCUUGAGUAUGGGAGAGGCGAGUGGAACUCCUGGUGUAGCGGUGGAAUGCGCAGAUAUCAGGAAGAACACCGACGGCGAAGGCAGCUCGCUGGGACGGUACUGACGCUGAGGCGCGAAAGCAUGGGGAGCGAACAGG